AGGAGUCUAAUACAUUUAUAUGUAUUAUGAUUAUUUCUUUCAAAUUAUUUUCAGUUUUCUGUUUACUGACAAAGCAUUUCCUUUUUUUAACUUUUAUUUUAGGUUCAGGGGAACAUGUGAAGGUUUCUUAUAUAGGUAAACUGUGUGUCACGGGGGUGUGGUGCACAGCUUAUGCGUCAUCCAGCUCCUUCCUUUUUCAAACGCUCCUGUUCUACACACUUGGCAUUGUAAUUUUCCUUGGAUUUCUGGAGGGCCUGAGUUAUGCUCUGAAUGGUUUGGACAGCUUCCAGAGUUCCUGCAACUUCUUCUUUAGUCUGUUUAGUAAGAAAUGAUUCAUCAAAACGACUGAACUAUAAAAACUCAAUAUCUGACCAAUCAAUUCUUUAACAGGAAAAAAACUGAUACCUUUUUAUGAGAUUUUACUUGUUCUUCUCCAUACUUCUGAACUUCCUUUAUUAAUUCUUGUAAUUUUCUAACAAGAUCCAAGUGACAAUUUGCUAAUUUCUCUGUAGAUGUUUUGAAUACAUCCCAUACUGGUGCAAAUGUUCUAAGAAAAUAAAAAAUAUGGGAAUAACUUACUAAAAGUAAAAAAGAAAAUUAAGGUUCUAACAGGGAAACAAUGGAAACAAUAGUGGUAUAUACGGCAACUUUAUUUAGGCAAAAGAUGAAAUUAAAAUAAUGAAUAAAAUGGU